UACGGGGGGAGCAAGCGUUGUUCGGAUUUACUGGGCGUAAAGGGCGCGUAGGCGGCCAGCACAAGUCAGUUGUGAAAUCUCCGAGCUUAACUCGGAAAGGUCAACUGAUACUGUGCGGCUAGAGUGCAGAAGGGGCAACUGGAAUUCUUGGUGUAGCGGUGAAAUGCGUAGAUAUCAGGAGGAACACCGGUGGCGAAGGCGGGUCUCUGGGCCGAUACUGACGCUGAGGAGCGAAAGCGUGGGGAGCGAACAGG
rnacentral:rRNA from 1 species